GGCAGUAUCUGUUUGAGCCAGGGCUUAAUCUGGUAGGGUGUUGUAAUUAGCUAAAUGCAGGCUAUGCAGCUGAUGGCUAUGCCAGGGCACGGGGAGUUGGUGCAUGUGUUGUUACUUUCAGAGUGGGUGGCCUUAGCAUUCUAAACCCAAUUGCUGGUGCUUACAGUGAAGAUUUGCCUGUCAUUUGUAUUGUUGGGGGUCCUAAUUCUAAUGAUUAUGGUUCUAAUCGAAUUCUUCACCAUACUCUUGGAUUGCCUGAUUUUUUCCAAGAGCUUCGUUGCUUUCAGGCUGUCACUUGUCAUCAAGCCAUUAUCAAUGACUUGCAAUAUGCACAAGAACAGAUUGAUAAAGCAAACACAAAAUGUUUAGAAGAAAGCAAGCCUGUUUAUAUUAGCAUCAGCUGUAAUUUGGCAACCACCCCUCAUCCCAGUUUCAUUCCAGACCCUAUUCCUCUCAUUUUCUCCAGCAAGUAAGACUACAUGCUAUAGUACUUUUGGUAGUCCAGUAUCUAUAAAUUAAUUUUUUCAAUGAAAUUCAUUUGCAGAAGAAAUGAAUUCCAUAUAGAUUUAUUCGAAGAAACACGUAAAUCUUGAUAAUCUUUAUUCACUUGUUUUGUAAUGCAGGAAAUCAGGAGUUUAAACACUGUCUGUUUCAUAAUACAGGGAGAAGAGUAUAAAUACUGACAGUCUCUAUUUUCUUGUUUAAUAGUGCAGGAGAUCAAGAACUUAUUGCCUUCCUUUCUUUUUCCUUUUCUUUUUCAUUUUGUAAUGCAGAAGAUCUGAAGUUUAACCCUGACAAUUUUUAAUAUUCACUUGUUUGGUGAUGCAAGAAGUCAGGAAUUUAAACGUGAGAGUCUUUUCUCCUAAACAUCUUUGAUUGACCAUAUAUUUUGUUAUUUCAGAAUAAGUAACCACAUGGCUCUGAAAUUAGCAGUAGAAGCAACUGCAGAAAUCUUAAAUAAAGCAAGAAAUCCAGUUCUAGUAGCUGGACCAAGACUCCGAGUAGCUAAAGCCUGCAAUGCUUUUCUUCAGUUAGCAGAUUCUUGUGGUUAUGCAAUUUCAGUAAUGCCAGCAGCAAAAGGCCUUGUGCCAGAAAAUCUCCCUAACUUCAUUGGAACUUACUGGGGAGCAGCAAGCACUUCUUUCUGUGCUUAAAUAAUUGAAACUUUUGAUGCAUUACUAUUUACAGGACCAAUUUUUGAUGAUUUAAGCACUGUUGGUAGCUCACUACUCUUUAACAAAAAUAAAGCUUUCAUUGCAGAAUCUGAAAGAGUUAUUAUUCCAAAUAUGCCUAUUUCUUGGUGUGUGCCAUUGAAGAAGUUUCUGGAAAAAUUAGCAGAAAGGAUUGAUUAUGACACAAAUGCUUAUCAGAAUUACCAGAGACGAGUAUGCGUUGUUCCUGAAAGAGAACUUCCUUUACAAUCUGAGGCUAAAAAGGUCUUAAGGGUUUCAAAUUCAAAUUCUAUAUUCAUCAAUUGGUUGGUCGUUGGUGCAACUCUUGGUUAUGCGCAGGCUGCACGGGACAAGCGAGUUAUAGCUUGUCUUGGAGAUGGAAGUUUUCAGAUGGCUGCACAAGAAGUGUCAACAAUGCUUCGACGGGGGAAUAAAAGCAAAAUCUUCUUGAUCAACAAUGGAGGAUACUCAACAGAAGCUGUGUUCGUGAUGGAUCCAACAACGUAAUCAAGAACUGGAGCCAUGUUAGUCUUGUUAAUGCUAUAGACAAUGGUGAAGGCAAGUGUUGGACAACUAAGGUUUGUCCUGAGAAGGUAAUAAUUUCAGCAAUGGAGAGAAUAAAAAGGGAUGAAGGGAUUGCUUGUGCUUUAUAGAGGUCAUUGUUGAUAAGAAUGAUACUAGCAAAGAGCUUCUUCAGUUUGGGUGCAGGGUUGCUGCUUCCGGCAGUCGCUAGGAAAUGUAUUCUCCAUCAAUUUAUUUAUAGAGAGCCUUGAUGCAAUGUUUCACUCUUUAACUUUUUACCGUAUUGCAAUUUCACUUUAUUAUAGAUAGCCUUGAUGCAUCGUUGUCUUCACGACGAAGAUGUUACCAAAUUUUAUAAUAGGUUACUCGCAAAUUUUUGGCUUCUGUACAUAUUUACCCCUAACAUAACAAGCCACGUAAAUUAGACGCUGGAGGUCUAUUUGUAAAUUCGCACGACCUCCCAAUUAAAACCCUAAAACCCGAGAGUCCAAUUCUCCUUCGCCAAGAGACAGAAAAACCCUCUCCUUUCUUUGUAAAACCCUAGAUUCACAGGCAAUAUCUUAUAGCCUUUCACAUUGCAUCAAUGGCCGAUUCUAUAAUUUCCCUUGAGAAGCUGAAAUCUUUCUUGAACUCUCAAAUUUACGAUGAAGAGAAGUGGGCCUUAAACAUGAAAUUGCUUCGUGCUGCUGGACUGUUUGGAGGAUCCAUUUUUCUUAUGCGGAAUUACGGAGAACUCAUGGCUAUAUAAUUACAGAUGAUCGUUUGCUACAAUGCUGAGCUCAAAAUCCUGAUGUAUUAGAGUAGUUUUUAAGGAGUUUUAGCUGCUAUUUCAAACAGUGGAUGGUAUUUUGCUACCUGUCUUUGAAUUCCACUUAAUGGCUGAGCUCCUUAAAUUUUACCAUAUCUUAAUCACAUUACUUCUUUAUGUGGAAUUGUUUCUGAACACCUUUGGAAUUAAAUAACGUUCUGUAAUCAUAGAAUUGUUCUGUGCA